GACGAACGCUGGCGGCGUGCUUAACACAUGCAAGUCGAACGGAAAGGCCCUUCGGGGUCCUCGAGUGGCGAACGGGUGAGUAACACGUGGGUGAUCUGCCCUGCACUUUGGGAUAAGCCUGGGAAACUGGGUCUAAUACCGAAUAUGAUCAUCGGCUUCAUGGUCGGUGGUGGAAAGCUUUUGCGGUGUGGGAUGGGCCCGCGGCCUAUCAGCUUGUUGGUGGGGUAAUGGCCUACCAAGGCGACGACGGGUAGCCGGCCUGAGAGGGUGACCGGCCACACUGGGACUGAGAUACGGCCCAGACUCCUACGGGAGGCAGCAGUGGGGAAUAUUGCACAAUGGGCGCAAGCCUGAUGCAGCGACGCCGCGUGAGGGAUGACGGCCUUCGGGUUGUAAACCUCUUUCAGCACAGACGAAGCGCAAGUGACGGUAUGUGCAGAAGAAGGACCGGCAAACUACGUG
rnacentral:rRNA from 1 species